rnacentral:snRNA from 1 species
UUGCUUCGGCAGCAAACACAAGGAAACUGGAACAACGCAGAGAAUGCCAUAGCCCCUGAGCAAAGCUGACACACAAAUUCAUGAAGCAUCCCAUUUUGUA